rnacentral:rRNA from 1 species
AGUAAUGCUUAGGAAUCUGCCUAUUAGUGGGGGACAACGUUCCGAAAGGAGCGCUAAUACCGCAUACGUCCUACGGGAGAAAGCAGGGGACCUUCGGGCCUUGCGCUAAUAGAUGAGCCUAAGUCGGAUUAGCUAGUUGGUAGGGUAAAGGCCUACCAAGGCGACGAUCUGUAGCGGGUCUGAGAGGAUGAUCCGCCACACUGGGACUGAGACACGGCCCAGACUCCUACGGGAGGCAGCAGUGGGGAAUAUUGGACAAUGGGGGGAACCCUGAUCCAGCCAUGCCGCGUGUGUGAAGAAGGCCUUUUGGUUGUAAAGCACUUUAAGCGAGGAGGAGGCUACCUGGAUUAAUACUUUAGGAUAGUGGACGUUACUCGCAGAAUAAGCACCGGCUAACUCUGUGCCAGCAGCCGCGGUAAUACAGAGGGUGCGAGCGUUAAUCGGAUUUACUGGGCGUAAAGCGUGCGUAGGCGGCCAAUUAAGUCAAAUGUGAAAUCCCCGAGCUUAACUUGGGAAUUGCAUUCGAUACUGGUUGGCUAGAGUAUGGGAGAGGAUGGUAGAAUUCCAGGUGUAGCGGUGAAAUGCGUAGAGAUCUGGAGGAAUACCGAUGGCGAAGGCAGCCAUCUGGCCUAAUACUGACGCUGA